AUUGAACGCUGGCGGCAGGCCUAACACAUGCAAGUCGAGCGAGCGGCGGACGGGUGAGUAAUGUCUGGGAAACUGCCUGAUGGAGGGGGAUCACUACAGGAAACGGUAGCUAAUACCGCAUACCCUCAGAUGUGCCCAGAUGGGAUUAGCUAGAAGGUGGGGUAAUGGCUCACCUAGGCGACGAUCCCUAGCUGGUCUGAGAGGAUGAGCAGCGAAACUGGAACUGAGACACGGUCCAGACUCCGACGGGAGGCAGCAGAGGGGAAGAUUGGACAAUGGGCGCAAGCCUGAUGCAGCCAUGCCUCGUGUGGGAAGAAGGCCUUCGGGUUGUAAAGCACUUUCAGCGAGGAGGCGUUACUCGCAGAAGAAGCACCGGCUAACUCCGUGCCAGCAGCCGCGGUAAUAC
rnacentral:rRNA from 1 species